rnacentral:rRNA from 1 species
UGCGUAGGCGGAUUAAUAAGUCAGUGGUGAAAUCUUUCGGCUCAACCGAGACACUGCCAUUGAUACUGUUAAUCUUGAGUUCGGUUGAGGUAGGCGGAAUGUGUAAUGUAGCGGUGAAAUGCUUAGAUAUUACACAGAACACCAAUUGCGUAGGCAGCUUACUAGACCGACACUGACGCUGAGGCACGAAAGCGUGGGGAGCGAACAGGAUUAGAUACCCUGGUAGUCC